CUUUGGGCACAGCACAACACAACCAAGUGAGCACUGGAAACCUGGUCAUAGGAAAUGAAACAGACUGCUGUUUUCAUGAGAAGCAUUUACAGAGGGAAAUAAGGACACUCACCAAAUAGGGCUAAUUUGAAGAAGGACACAGCUGACUUAGUAGGAAGAAGGCAGAAGAAUUAUCUCCUGGUAAUCAAGACUCUGAAAAUAAGACUUAAGAUAAAAGACUGGAUACAUGCAAGAACAGAGUUCUUAAAGAUCACCAGCUGAAGAUUGUGAUUUUUCAUUCUUCUAUGCCCUAAGACAGCCAUAUUUUACCAUUUGAAACAUAAAUAAAAAUGACUUCCAGGCUUAUUUGAUUACAGACUGAAUUGCUCUAUCAUAGGAUGACAAGCAAUGACAGAUAGGUUCCCCAUAAAGAAAAGUCUGUGAGACUCCAUAUUUCCUGUAAAAGAUGAUAUGAGGAAACCGGGCAGAUUUUUCUUUCAUUCAUACUCUUUUAUAUGGGGGCAAUAGUACUGUCAAUCUCUAUUAUAUCAUUAGGUUACCUGGAAGGUCUUAUGUUUGGCAGUGGAAUGUAAGUUUUAGGGUAAUUUUUCUGAGUGGCAACCCAAGGCCAAUGUAGUAAAUUUUGAAAGAUCAAUUAAAUUACAGAAAAGGCUUGCAUAACAUAAAUGUGUUCUGCCCACUUGUCAACAUGGGUAAAGAUAUUAAUAUUGUAACAAGUGCAAUGACAGAAUUUCAUUUUCAGACUCCAGACUUCUUAACAGUAGCAGUGGCAAGGCAUCAAACCAGUGAGUUUUGCUUCUU
rnacentral:lncRNA from 1 species